rnacentral:rRNA from 1 species
GUGCCUAAUACAUGCAAGUCGAACGCACAGCGAAAGGUGCUUGCACCUUUCAAGUGAGUGGCGAACGGGUGAGUAACACGUGGACAACCUGCCUCAAGGCUGGGGAUAACAUUUGGAAACAGAUGCUAAUACCGAAUAAAACUUAGUGUCGCAUGACACAAAGUUAAAAGGCGCUUCGGCGUCACCUAGAGAUGGAUCCGCGGUGCAUUAGUUAGUUGGUGGGGUAAAGGCCUACCAAGACAAUGAUGCAUAGCCGAGUUGAGAGACUGAUCGGCCACAUUGGGACUGAGACACGGCCCAAACUCCUACGGGAGGCUGCAGUAGGGAAUCUUCCACAAUGGGCGAAAGCCUGAUGGAGCAACGCCGCGUGUGUGAUGAAGGCUUUCGGGUCGUAAAGCACUGUUGUAUGGGAAGAACAGCUAGAAUAGGAAAUGAUUUUAGGUUGACGGUACCAUACCAGAAAAGGGGACGGCUAAAUACGUGCCAGCAGCCGCGGUAAUACGUAUGUCCCCGAGCGUUAUCCGGAUUUAUUGGGCGUAAAGCGAGCGCAGACGGUUUUAUUAAGUCUGAUGUGAAAGCCCGGAGCUCAACUCCGGAAUGGCAUUGGAAACUGGUUAACUUGAGUGCAGUAGAGGUAAGUGGAACUCCAUGUGUAGCGGUGGAAUGCGUAGAUAUAUGGAAGAACACCAGUGGCGAAGGCGGCUUACUGGACUGCAACUGACGUUGAGGCUCGAAAGUGUGGGUAGCAAACAGGAUUAGAUACCCUGGUAGUCCACACCGUAAACGAUGAACACUAGGUGUUAGGAGGUUUCCGCCUCUUAGUGCCGAAGCUAACGCAUUAAGUGUUCCGCCUGGGGGAGUACGACCGCAAGGGUUGAAACUCAAAGGAAAUUGACGGGGACCCGCACAAGCGGUGGAGCAUGGUGGUUUAAUUCGAAGCAACGCGAAGAACCUUACCAGGUCUUGACAUCCUUUGAAGCUUUUAGAGAUAGAAGUGUUCUCUUCGGAGACAAAGUGACAGGUGGUGCAUGGUCGUCGUCAGCUCGUGUCGUGAGAUGUUGGGUUAAGUCCCGCAACGAGCGCAACCCUUAUUGUUAGUUGCCAGCAUUCAGAUGGGCACUCUAGCGAGACUGCCGGUGACAAACCGGAGGAAGGCGGGGACGACGUCAGAUCAUCAUGCCCCUUAUGACCUGGGCUACACACGUGCUACAAUGGCGUAUACAACGAGUUGCCAACCCGCGAGGGUGAGCUAAUCUCUUAAAGUACGUCUCAGUUCGGAUUGUAGUCUGCAACUCGACUACAUGAAGUCGGAAUCGCUAGUAAUCGCGGAUCAGCACGCCGCGGUGAAUACGUUCCCGGGUCUUGUACACACCGCCCGUCACACCAUGGGAGUUUGUAAUGCCCAAAGCCGGUGGCCUAACCUUUUAGGAAGGAGCCGUCUAAGGCAGGAUCA